GCUGUUAACCGGGYAGGGUUAAAAAUUUACUAGCACGYUGUGAUAAAUUAAUCGUCAGCUUUUAUAGCUGUUUUGCGUUCUAAUUUUCUAUUUAUUUACUGGGCGUAAAUGUCCAGUAAUGGUAUAUAUACUUUUUGUUAUUGAGUUAUGAGAGGGUUAAAGUUCCCCCCACAUUAAAAGUUUGUUAUAAAUUUUUGUAGGUAGUAUAGUAUUAUUUUUAAAUAGCGCAUAAAUUUUAUAUUUUGUUUUAUAUAUGAUAUAAUAAGUAAUAUUAUUAGUAUCACUAUUUCUCGAGCUUAGCCCGUCUGUUUAUCAAAAACAUUUCCAUUUAUUAUAUUUUAUGGUAGGACCUGCUCUAUGUGUUUAUAAAUGGCCGCGGUMUUUUGACUGUGCGAAGGUAGCAUAAUUAAUUGCCCUUUAAUUGGGGGCUUGUUUGAAUGGUCUGACGUGGUUAUUUGCAAAUUUUGAUGCUUUUAUUGAAAUUMAUUAUGAGGGWACAGAAUCCUCUUAUUUUAAUUAGACGGAAAGACCCCGGGAUCUUCUUUUUUGCCUGGGGUAGGUUAGAUUGYUUCAUAUUUAUUAUGAACCUUCUUAGGUUUAAUGGUUUAAGUUACCCCGGGGAUAACAGUGURAUAGUCUAUGAGAGGUCUCAUCGAAUAGACUGCUUGCUACCUCGAUG
rnacentral:rRNA from 1 species